GCAACUCGGCAAGUUUUGUGGCCACCCACCCAGCGUCGCCUCCUCCCCUAACAUCUCUUUGCUCCUCGCCCCCGCCCGCCGUUCGCCACGUCGCAACCGCCGCUCCGGCCCGCGCGCCGCCUCCACCGCCGGCUCCGGCGAGAUGUCGCGCUUCGGACGCUCCGGCCCGCCGCCGAUCCGCGACACCUACUCCCUCCUCGUCCUCAACAUCACCUUCCGUACGACGGCUGACGACCUCUUCCCGCUCUUCGACAAGUACGGCGACGUAGUCGACAUCUACAUCCCCAGGGACCGCAGGACUGGCGACUCGCGAGGGUUUGCCUUCGUGAGGUACAAGUACGAGGACGAGGCGCAGAAGGCAGUCGAUCGACUGGACGGGAGGUUGGUAGACGGGAGGGAGAUGAUGGUGCAGUUCGCCAAGUACGGCCCAAACGCUGAGCGGAUUCAAAAAGGGAGAAUCAUGGAAACGCUCCCAAGGUCAAGGGGUCGUUCCAGAAGCCGCAGUCCAAGACGGGGGUACCGGGAUGAUCAUCGGGGAAGAGAUUAUUCUAGAAGGCGAAGUCGGAGUCCGAGUAGAGAGCGAUAUGGCCGUGACAGGCACACAGAGAGGGAUUAUCAUCGUCGUAGCAGGAGUCGCAGCUACAGUCCUGAUGAUUACAGGAGGCGUGGCAGGGACAGAAGCCCUAGUCGUAGCAGGAGUCGCAGCUACAGUCCUGAGGAUGACAACAGGCGUGGCAGAGCCAGUGUGUCGCCUGCGUGUAGAAGCCCUAGUCGUUCACCUCGCAGGACGCCAUCUUCUCGUGAGGGAUCUCCUGUUAAGCGCAAUGAGGACCGAUCUCCACGCUCUCGUAGCCCUUCAACAUAAACUGAAGGUCAAACGUCCGAGGAUGGACGGAACAGGGCUGCUCCUACCAGAGGCUGUUCAGUUGCUUGGUUGUGAACACUAUAGUUACAAGCACUGUUUAGUUACCAAGUGAAAUGCUGCGAGGCUUCAUAUCAGUGGCUGCUUCAAGCUGCAGAUAAUGCUUUGUGGACAUCUGGAUGCUUGUUUGAACUAUAUUUACAUGAUGUGGUGAGAAGAUGCUGGUUGAUAAAGGACCAACACAAGUUAGUUGCUGUUGCGGUUGAUAUUGUUUGUGCUGUAUCCCCUAAUGAUGAUGAUGCUGGUGAUGGAGGGUGAUGGUUAAUGAUGAUACUGGGAUUUGAUGAUGCUGAUCAUUUUGCUGCCUGCUUGCAUCCUUUGCUGUCUGCACUUGUUAUGCUGACAAGUAAGGUUCAAUUGAUUCAGCAGAGUUUCACUACUUCAGCAGUUCAACAUAAAAGUACUUUUGUCCAUGAUUCUGCAUGCUAGGAUUUCAAAACUUAGAUCUUGAUAUGAUUUAGUUUUUCUCUCA